AUAUAUAUAUAUAUAUAUAUAUAUAUGGUAUGAGAGGUAUUGGUGUCAAGAAGACCCAAAAGUUGUCGGGUAACGCUAAGUAAGUGCCAUAGAUAGACCAUGGUUAAGUUCCAGACUCGAUAAUGAUACGAGUGAGGAGUUUAACGUGGGUCAUGUAUUAGCAUGAAUAUAUAUAUAUAUAUAUACACAGAGAGAG